rnacentral:rRNA from 1 species
AACGAACGCUUGCGGCAUGCCUACCACAAGCAAGUCGAACGAAGCCUUCGGGCUUAGUGACGCACGGGUGCGUAACGCGUGGGAAUCUGCCCUUGGGUUCGGAAUAACAGUUAGAAAUGACUGCUAAUACCGGAUGAUGUCUUCGGACCAAAGAUUUAUCGCCCAAGGAUGAGCCCGCGUAGGAUUAGGUAGUUGGUGGGGUAAUGGCCCACCAAGCCGAUGAUCCUUCGCUGGUCUGAGAGGAUGAUCAGCCACACUGGGACUGAGACACGGCCCAGACUCCUACUAGAGGCAGCUGUGGGCAAUAUUGGACCAUGGGCGAAAACCUGAUCCAGCAAUGCCGCGUGAGUGAUGAAGGCCUUAGGGUUGUAAAGCUCUUUUCCCAGGGAUGAUAAUGACAGUACCUGGAGAAUAAGCUCCGGCUAACUCCGUGCCUGCCGCCGCAGUAA